rnacentral:lncRNA from 1 species
UAAAAUAAAUUCAUAAAUUAAAUUGCUUGUUGUAUGGACGUUAAUCCCGCACCAUACCUUAAAUAAAAUUAAAUGUGCGGUAAAGUAAAUUCAUAAAUUAAAUUGCUUGCUGUAUGGACGUUAAUCCCGCACCAUACCUUAAAUAAAAUUAAAUGUGCGGUAAAGUAAAUUCAUAAAUUAAAUUGCUUGUUGUAUGGACGUUAAUCCCGCACCAUACCGUAAAUAAAAUUAAAUGUGCGGUAAAGUAAAUUCAUAAAUUAAAUUGCUUGUUGUAUGGACGUUAAUUCCGCACCAUACCUUAAAUAAAAUUA